GCGAUCAUACCAGCACUAAUGCACCGGAUCCCAUCUGAACUCCGAAGUUAAGCAUGCUUGGGCGAGAGUAGUACUAGGAUGGGUGACCCCUAGGAAGUCCUCGUGUUGCACCCC
rnacentral:rRNA from 1 species